rnacentral:rRNA from 1 species
GAUGAACGCUAGCGGCAGGCCUAAUACAUGCAAGUCGAGGGGCAGCAGGUGUAGCAAUACAUGCUGGCGACCGGCGCACGGGUGCGUAACACGUAUGGAAUCUGCCCAUUACUUGGGAAUAGCCCGGAGAAAUCCGGAUUAAUGUCCAAUGAUAUUAAGGAAUGGCAUCAUUUUUUAAUUAAAGAUUUAUCGGUAAUGGAAGACCAUGCGGCUGAUUAGCUAGUUGGUGAGGUAAUGGCUCACCAAGGCGACGAUCAGUAGGGGACCUGAGAGGGUGAUCCCCCACACUGGUACUGAGAUACGGACCAGACUCCUACGGGAGGCAGCAGUAGGGAAUAUUGGGCAAUGGGCGCAAGCCUGACCCAGCCAUGCCGCGUGCAGGAAGACGGCCUUCUGGGUUGUAAACUGCUUUUGAUCGGGAACAAAUAGCCCUUGCGAGGGAAGUUGAGUGUACCGAUAGAAUAAGCACCGGCUAACUCCGUGCCAGCAGCCGCGGUAAUACGGAGGGUGCAAGCGUUGUCCGGAUUUAUUGGGUUUAAAGGGUGCGUAGGCGGUUUUUUAAGUCAGUGGUGAAAGCCAACAGCUCAACUGUUGAACUGCCAUUGAUACUGGAAGACUUGAGCACAGACGAGGUAGGCGGAAUUUAUGGUGUAGCGGUGAAAUGCAUAGAUACCAUAAAGAACACCGAUUGCGAAGGCAGCUUACUAGGCUGUAACUGACGCUGAGGCACGAAAGCGUGGGGAUCAAACAGGAUUAGAUACCCUGGUAGUCCACGCUGUAAACGAUGAUUACUCGAUGUUCGCGAUAUACAGUGAGCGUCCAAGCGAAAGCGUUAAGUAAUC